rnacentral:misc_RNA from 1 species
AACGCACAUUGCGCCCCUUGGUAUUCCGAGGGGCAUGCCUGUUCGAGCGUCAUUACACCACUCAAGCCUCGCUUGGUAUUGGGCGCCGCGGUCUCUCCCCGCGCGCCUUAAUGUCUCCGGCUGAGCUGUCCGUCUCUAAGCGUUGUGGCAUUUUGUUUCCGCUUCGGAGCACGGGUGGCUUCCACGCCGUUAAACCCUUUCUCAAAGGUUGACCUCGGAUCAGGUAGGGAUACCCGCUGAACUUAA